rnacentral:rRNA from 1 species
UACUCCUACGGGAGGCAGCAGUGGGGAAUAUUGCACAAUGGGGGAAACCCUGAUGCAGCCAUGCCGCGUGUGUGAAGAAGGCCUUCGGGUUGUAAAGCACUUUCAGCGAGGAGGAAAGGUUGGUAGCUAAUAACUGCCAGCUGUGACGUUACUCGCAGAAGAAGCACCGGCUAACUCCGUGCCAGCAGCCGCGGUAAUAAAUACCGCGUCGAUAC